GGAGGGGGUAAAUUAAUAAAAUAAAAUUAAUAAAAAAAUUUUUAAUAUUGGGGGGUAUUAAAGUAUUUUUAAAAAAAAAAUAAAAAAAUUUAUAGUUAAUUAAUAUUGUAAAAGAAAUUUUAAAUAUAAAUGAAAAUUAAUUAAUAAAAAAGUAAAUUUAAUUUAUUGUAUCUUGUGUAUCAGAGUUUAUUAAAAAAUAUUUAGUUGAUAAUAAAAUCUCGAAUUUAAAAGAGUUAACUAAUUAUAAAAGUUAAUGUUGAAUAAUUAUUUUUAAUAAUUAGAUAGAAAUGAAAUGUUAAUCGUUUUUAAAUAUAUCUAGUUUUUUUAGAAAAAAAUUUAAUUUAAAAUUUAAAAAAUUUUUUAUUUAAUUUGAUAAAUAUUAAAUUUUAAAAUUAAAUAUAUUAAGGGAUAAGCUUUAAUAUAAAUAUUUAUAAUAAAAAUAAUUAUUAAUAAAAUUUUUAAAAUUUAUAUUGUUUAAAAAUUAUAAUUUAUUAAAAAAAAUUUUAUAAUGAAUAAAAUUAAAUUGUAUUUAUUUAAUUUUUUAUAAAAGAAUAUUUUUUAAUGAUAUAAAUAUAGAAAUAAUGAUAAAAUUAGUAUAUUAAAAAUUAAAAUAGUAAAUUUAAAUUAAAAUUAAUUUAAAGGAAUUCGGCAAAAAUUUAUAUUCACUUGUUUAUCAAAAACAUGUCUUUUAGGUAAUAAUUUAAGGUCUAAUCUGCCCACUGAUAAAUAAUAAAAGGGCUGCAGUAUAUUGACUGUACAAAGGUAGCAUAAUCAUUAGUCUUUUAAUAAGAGACUUGUAUGAAAGAUUUGAUGAAAUAUAAACUGUCUCUAAAUUAUUAAUAAAAAUUAAUUUUUUAGUUAAAAAGCUAAAAUUUAUUUAAAAGACGAGAAGACCCUAUAGAGUUUUAUAAUAAUAAUAAUUAAAGUUAACUAUAUAAUUAUAAAUUAAAAUUAUUAUUAUUAUUUUAUUGGGGUGAUAGAAAAAUUAAAUAAACUUUUUUUUUAUAGAUCUUAAAUAAGUGAGUUUUUGAUCCAUUUAUAAUGAUUAAAAGAAAAAAUUACCUUAGGGAUAACAGCGUAAUUUUUUUUUUUUAGUACAAAUAAAAAAAAAAGGUUGCGACCUCGAUGUUGGAUUAAGAUAAAAGUUAAAUGUAAAAGUUUAAAAUUUUGAUCUGUUCGAUCAUUAAAAUCUUACAUGAUCUGAGUUCAAACCGGUGUGAGCCAGGUUGGUUUCUAUCUUUGGAAAAUUAAAAUAUUUUA
rnacentral:rRNA from 1 species